rnacentral:rRNA from 1 species
CACGUAGGGUGCGAGCGUUGUCCGGAAUUAUUGGGCGUAAAGAGCUCGUAGGCGGUGUGUCGCGUCGGCCGUGAAAACCUGCAGCUUAACUGUGGGCUUGCGGUCGAUACGGGCAUCACUAGAGUUCGGCAGGGGAGACUGGAAUUCCUGGUGUAGCGGUGAAAUGCGCAGAUAUCAGGAGGAACACCGGUGGCGAAGGCGGGUCUCUGGGCAUUAACUGACGCUGAGGAGCGAAAGCAUGGGGAGCGAACAGG